UUUCUCUGCUCCUCCGACUUCUCUGUGUGUUUGGCUUUUUUACGUUUUAAUUUCCAGCACUUGAAUUCGCUGCCAUGUCCUCUGAAGAAGGAAAGCUUUUCGUAGGGGGGCUCAACUUCAACACCGAUGAGCAGGCACUGGAAACCACUUUAGCAGCUUCGGGCCUAUCUCUGAGGUGGUCGUUGUCAAGGACCGGGAGACUCAGCGGUCCAGGGGUUUUGGUUUCAUCACCUUCACCAACCCAGAGCAUGCUUCAGUUGCCAUGAGAGCCAAGAACGGAGAGUCCCUGGAUGGUCGUCAGAUCUGUGUGGAUCACACAAGCAAGUCUGCUCGAGGAACUAAAGGAGGUGCCUUGGGGGCCCAUGGGCGUGGUCGAAGCUACUCUAGAGGUGGUGGGGACCAGGGCUGUAGGAGUGGCAGGUAUUAUGACAGUCGACCUGGAGGGUAUGGAUGUGGAUAUGGCGUUCCAGUUCGAGACUAUACUGGCAGAAACCAGGGUGGUUAUGACUGCUACUCGGAGGAAAUUAUAGAGACAAUUAUGACAACUGAAAUGAGACAUGCACAUAGUGUAGAUGCACAAGGAAUAAUUUUUGAUCCAGGAUCGUCCUUCCAAAUGGCUGUAUUUAUAAAGGUUUUUGGAGCUACACUGAAACAUCUUAUUUUACUGUAUAUCAACCUGUUGUUUUUAAAUUGAGCUGCCAAGGUAGCCAAAGACCUUU